rnacentral:rRNA from 1 species
AGAAUCAACGCUGGCGGCGUGCCUAACACAUGCAAGUCGAACGAGAAAGGGGAGCAAUCCCUGAGUAAAGUGGCGACCGGGUGAGUAACACGUGACUAACCUACCUUCGAGUGGGGGAUAACCUCGGGAAACCGAGGCUAAUACCGCAUAACAUCGUGAGAUCAAAGCAGUAAUGCGCUGGAAGAGGGGGUCGCGGCUGAUUAGCUAGUUGGCGGGGUAAUGGCCCACCAAGGCGAAGAUCGGUAGCCGGCCUGAGAGGGCGCACGGCCACACUGGAACUGAAACACGGUCCAGACUCCUACGGGAGGCAGCAGUGGGAAUUUUGCGCAAUGGGGGAAACCCUGACGCAGCAACGCCGCGUGGAGGAUGAAGGCUUUCGGGUUGUAAACUCCUGUCAUUUGAGAACAAGUGCCAACAAAUAACUACUGUUGGCUUGAUAGUAUCAGAAGAGGAAGGACGGCUAACUCUAGCGCCAGCAGCCGCGGU